rnacentral:tRNA from 1 species
GGGGCUGUGGCCAAGCCAGGGAUGGCGACUGACUCCAGAGGCUACGGCGCCCGGGACGACACUCCAGACUGAUAUACUGAUCGGACACCUGAUCAGUGUCCGUGUGAUGACCCUCUGGAGUUCCGAGGCGCACCGGAGAUAUCAGUCGAUCGGGGGUUCAAAUCCCUCCGGCCCCA